rnacentral:lncRNA from 1 species
AGAACUGCAAAUGAAAUGCAAACCCAUGUCCUGAAGCAUUGCCUUGUCCAGGAUAGACCAAUAUUUUGUUCUAUGUAGACCUUCAGUAAGCUUCAGGAUGGGGAUGUCCCACAGAGCAAGACUCUUUAUCUUCUGCCAACUUACCAGUUUCCCUGGACCAUUUCUGAGCAACUAAUUCUGGAACUGCACUGAGAUGGCACUGUGUGCUCUACACAUGAUACCCACUACCUAUACUGAAACAGAAAUUAAUCAUCCUUUGAGCAUUCCAUGAUUUUGAAAUCAAGCUUAUUCAAAAGAACUUCUCUAAAGCUUCCUGCUUUUUUAGAGUGGGACUAAGGCACACAAUCUACAGCCACUUAAACACACACACAAA